UUAAAUUGAAGAGUUUGAUCAUGGCUCAGAUUGAACGCUGGCGGCAGGCCUAACACAUGCAAGUCGAACGGUAACAGGAAGAAGCUUGCUUCUUUGCUGACGAGUGGCGGACGGGUGAGUAAUGUCUGGGAAACUGCCUGAUGGAGGGGGAUAACUACUGGAAACGGUAGCUAAUACCGCAUAACGUCGCAAGACCAAAGAGGGGGACCUUCGGGCCUCUUGCCAUCGGAUGUGCCCAGAUGGGAUUAGCUAGUAGGUGGGGUAACGGCUCACCUAGGCGACGAUCCCUAGCUGGUCUGAGAGGAUGACCAGCCACACUGGAACUGAGACACGGUCCAGACUCCUACGGGAGGCAGCAGUGGGGAAUAUUGCACAAUGGGCGCAAGCCUGAUGCAGCCAUGCCGCGUGUAUGAAGAAGGCCUUCGGGUUGUAAAGUACUUUCAGCGGGGAGGA
rnacentral:rRNA from 1 species